GUGUGUACCAGGCCUGUUGGUGUAUGGGGCAAGAUCGUGGGGUCGCUGUGUGCUAUCGCUGGCGUACUCACCAUUGCCCUGCCCGUUCCAGUCAUCGUGUCCAAC
rfam:Papilio machaon contig68600, whole genome shotgun sequence.